UCGGAGUUGCUGUAAUCGCGGAUCAGAAUGCCGCGGUGAAUGCGUUCCCGGGUCUUGUACACACCGCCCGUCACACCAUGGAAGUUGGGGGCGCCCGAAGUUGGUCGGGAAAUAGAUUACCUAAGGCGAAACCAAUGACUGGGGUGAAGUCGUAACAAGGUAAC
rnacentral:rRNA from 1 species